rnacentral:rRNA from 1 species
GAAAGUAAAGAAGGGCGCAUGGCGGAUGCCUUGGCUCUCGGAGGCGAUGAAGGACGUGAUAAGCUGCGAUAAGCUCCGGGGAGGUGCAAAUAACCUUUGAUCCGGGGAUUUCCGAAUGGGACAACCCGGCGUGUUGAAGACACGCCACCUGAUCAUUUCAGGAGCUAACGCAGGGAACUGAAACAUCUUAGUACCUGCAGGAAAAGAAAAUAACAAUGAUUCCCCCAGUAGUGGCGAGCGAACGGGGAAUAGCCCAAACCGUUCAUGUUACGGCAUGAUCGGGGUUGUAGGACUACGUCGUUGCAUGAAGACAUCGGAGAAGAACUUUCUGGAAAGAAAGACCAUAGAGCAUGACAGUUGCGUAUUCGUAUGUUGUCGAAGCAUAGUAGUAUCCUGAGUAGCGCGGAGCACGAGGAAUUCUGCGUGAAUCUGCCGGGACCAUCCGGUAAGGCUAAAUACUCCCGAGAGACCGAUAGCGAACCAGUACCGUGAGGGAAAGGUGAAAAGCACUUCGAACAGAAGAGUGAAAUAGUUCCUGAAACCGUGCGCCUACAAGCGGUCGGAGCUGCUUAAAGCAGUGACGGCGUGCCUUUUGCAUAAUGAACCUACGAGUUGCCUUUGCCGGCAAGGUUAAGUGUGACGACACACGUAUCCGAAGCGAAAGCGAGUCUGAAUAGGGCGUAUAGUCGGCAGUGGCAGACGCGAAACCAAGUGAUCUACCCUUGGCCAGGUUGAAGGCUGGGUAACACCAGCUGGAGGACCGCACCAAUAAGCGUUGAAAAGCUUCUGGAUGAGCUGAGGGUAGGGGUGAAAGGCUAAUCAAACUUGGAGAUAGCUCGUACUCCCCGAAAUGCAUUUAGGUGCAGCCUUGUGGGUUACUGAUGUGAGGUAGAGCGACUGAUAAGAUGCGAGGGCUUCACCGCCUAUCAAGUCUUGACAAACUCCGAAUGCGCAUCAGUUUUACCUCAGGAGUGAGGGCAUGGGUGCUAAGGUCCGUGCCCGAGAGGAGAAGAAUCCGGACCACCUGCUAAGGUCCCGAAAUGACAGCUAAGUUAAACUAACGAAGUCUGACUGCUAAGACAGCUAGGAUGUUGGCUUGGAAGCAGCCAUUCAUUUAAAGAGUGCGUAACAGCUCACUAGUCGAGGAGUCUGGCGUGGAUAAUAAUCGGGUAUUAAGUUGUCUACCGAAGCAGUGGGAUCAUUGAAAUGAUCGGUAGGGGAGCAUUCCAGUCAGCGUCGAAGGCGUACCGCGAGGUAUUCUGGAGCGUCUGGAAAAGCAAAUGUAGGUAUAAGUAACGAUAAAGGGGGCGGGAAACCCCCUCGCCGAAAGACUAAGGUUUCCUGAUCAACGCUAAUCGGAUCAGGGUAAGUCGGGUCCUAAGGCUCAGCCGAAGGGCGAUGCCGAUGGCAGAAACGGUUAAUAUUCCGUUACUACCUCCAGGAGUGAUGUGGAGACGCAGUAGUGACAAUGCCGCCAUCUGACGGAAUAGAUGGUUGAAGGGUGUAGAUGUUGAUCUUGGCAGGCAAAUCCACCAUGAGAAUCGAACCUGAUAGUAUGCCGCGUCCCUCGGGACAAGGCAAUAGUGCAUGUAAUCAUGCUGCCAAGAAAAUCCGCUAAACAAAAUCCUGUAGGUACCCGUACCGUAAACGGACACACGUAGUCGGGAUGAAUAUUCUAAGGCGCUUGAGUGAUUCACGGUUAAGGAACUAGGCAAACUGACCCUGUAACUUCGGGAUAAAGGGUCCCUACCCGGUGACGGGAGGGCGCAGAGAAUAGGUCCAGGCAACUGUUUAACAAAAACACAGGGCUGUGCUAAAUCGAAAGAUCCUGUAUACAGCCUGACACCUGCCCGGUGCUGGAAGGUUAAGAGGAGACGUCAUCGUUGAGAGAAGCGUUGAAUUGAAGCCCCAGUAAACGGCGGCCGUAACUAUAACGGUCCUAAGGUAGCGAAAUUCCUUGUCGGGUAAGUUCCGACCUGCACGAAUGGUGUAAU